AACUUUCAACAAAGGAUCUCUUGGCUCUCGCAUCGAUGAAGAACGUAGCAAAGCGCGAAAUGUAGUGUGAAUUGCAGAACAUUGUGAAUCAUCGAAUCUUUGAACGCACAUUGCACCUCUCGCAGGGGAGGUAUGCCUGUCUGAGCGUCAUUG
rnacentral:rRNA from 1 species